rnacentral:rRNA from 1 species
UACGUAGGGGGCGAGCGUUGUCCGGAGUUACUGGGCGUAAAGGGCAUGCAGGCGGUCGGACGCGUUUCGGGUGACAGCGGGUGGCUCAACUACGCGAGCAUACGAAAGACGGUUUGACUUGAGGGCUCGAGAGGGACACGGAAUUCCGGGUGGAGUGGUGAAAUGCGUAGAGAUCCGGAGGAACACCGAAGGCGAAGGCAGUGUCCUGGCGAGUGACUGACGCUGAGGUGCGAAAGCCAGGGGAGCGAACGGG